CUGCUGCCUCCCGUAGGAGUCUGGUCCGUGUCUCAGUACCAGUGUGAGGGACCUUCCUCUCAGAACCCCUACGCAUCGUCGCCUUGGUGGGCCGUUACCCCGCCAACUAGCUAAUGCGACGCAUGACCAUCCGUAGCCGGAAUCGCUUCCUUUAAACCCGAGGAGAUGCCUCCUCGGGUUGUUACGCGGUAUUAGACGGAAUUUCUUCCGCUUAUCCCCCUGCUACGGGCAGGUUUCAUACGUGUUACUCACCCGUGCGCCGGUCGCCGGCGGGAG
rnacentral:rRNA from 1 species